CAAUGUGAGCCUUUGUCUUUAUGCAUCAGAUAUGCAGAGUGGCACGGGGUGUCGCAGCUGAAGGAGUCACAGAGGCUCUACCAAGACGUUCCAGUGUGUGGUGACCAGGACCCAGACCAGGGAGGCAGCAGGGCCAGGAGGAAGGACAGGCCAGGAUGGAUCACAGCAGACCCUUCUACCUCCCUCAGGCCUGAGGCCGUGAACAGGAGACUCAAGAACAAAGCUCUGGAAGCACUUUCACAGAAUUUGAAAAGGGACCUUCCCUCCCCAAAUAUCUAGCAAAUGAGGUCUGUGGCACCAGAACGAGCAAUCUGCCUUUCUUUCUUCUAUUAAAAAAGAAACAAGGGAUUUUGCCCAAGACUGUCGAGCAGAGGGGAAAGAGAAGCAGGUUUGGAGUUUGCUACCCUCUGCACAGUUGGCUUCAGGGCUCCCAGCCCGGCUUCUCCACCAGGCACAAGUUCUGUCCCAACGCGUGCCAUCCCACGCCCGGGGAGGAAACAAGAAAUACCUGAGACACUCCCAGGAAAGGACUUCUUAUUUCUUCCCUUCAGCAUGUGAUCAGAGAUGGCAGGAGUAGAAUCCCCAAUUUUUAGCCCGCACAUGGCCUUCUGGAAUAAGGAUGACGUCUCUCAGCCCGAAGCUGGUGUGGCUACGUCAUCAAGUUCUGGCCUAUAAAGAGACUUACCAAGGGCCUCUUCUGGGACGUACCACCCUUUUCUCCUUUUUGCUGACUGGACUCAGGUGUGAUCACGGGGGUAGGAGAAGCCAGCUUGGUCUC